rnacentral:rRNA from 1 species
UCCGUGAGGCUCGGUCGUCGUCCUGCCUAGCCGUGACUUGAUGCGACACUGCCGCGUACAUCCCUUGGUCGCUGGGAGCGGCUGGGGAGUUGUGCGGCGACCAACCGGGUGUUUCAAGGAAAUAUCGAGCAGGAUGUACCUUGGAGAAUAGAAGUCGGGAAGUUGUAACGAAACUCUGGGCAUGAAAAGUUGAUUGAACGUUGUUCGUUUAAAGAGAAAAAACAAAGAGAGUUUACUUUAUUGUAUACCUGAAGUUUGAAAAGUCUAGUUUGUUUGAAAUGUUGAAGUUACACACUUUUUUGAAAGUCUAAAAAACCUGGUUGUAUUUAUAUGUUUUACACUUAAAAAAACUAAUUUUUUGAUUUAAAAUCGUAAAAUUUACGUACUUGUUUAGACUUUCAAAAAAGGGUGCAUCAUUAAUCUUACAAAACAACAGGACGUUUCACACUUCAAAUAUGCAACAAAGCAAAUUCUCUUUGUUUUUACUGUUUACACGGACGUACCUAGAACUACGGUUUUACUUACCGAUUCUAUUCCCCAUGGCACAUCGAGGUCGAUGUGUUUUGGUGUGAGGACCAACCGGUAUCCGUCUUGGCUGCUGACUAGAACCACCCUGGUCUAGGUGCCGACGGUGACGCGGGUGGUAGCGCCCUCUUGAACCCGAGGGUGCCCGGUACCUCCGAUCACACCGGCGGCGUGCUGGUCCCCGCGGUAGGAACGGGGACGCACGUUGAGGGGGGCCCGGUGCGGGGUCGGUGUGGUCCUCCAGCCGCGGCGUAGGUCUGAGGAGCCGAGGAAGCCGAGACCCGGACGGCGGUGGCGCCAGAUGCGACAAUCGGUUAUUUGGCACUGCACACACGCGACAUGCGCACGCACACACGCACGUGACCUACACGGACCACGCUAAGACCGGCGCACGACCGGCACCACACACGCGCACACACACGAGUGCACACCACGCGCCCUACACGCACACACACAUCGACAAUCUCUGGUCCAGGUCCCGAGCCGCACAGCGCACGCAACGCCCGCGCGCGCCUCCUGCGCCGGUCUCGCUCGACCCAGCACCCGCGCUCGUCCGUCCCCGCACCUCUUGCACAGGUAGCACACGGACCCAUAUUUUGGGCACACAACCAGUAACAUUGUCACCCCUCAGCUCAAGCACGAGCGGCCUUUAUGUGUCCUCGGCAGGCAUUCCGUUCCACAAACUCGCGGACCUUUAGAACACACAACGGAGGGGGACCGAAUAAAGAACAGAGGCCACUAGCAGCACGAGGCCACCAAGCCAAAGACGUUGUUGUAUGCGGCCGCCGUCGCCGCCUACCCUUCCAUCGUCACGCUCCUUCGGAAACUGCCGCGAUCCCAAGCGGGGACCGGAGUGGGGCUCCUCUGCUGCGUUCCCUCAGUGCGCUCCCCAGACCUACAAACAUAUCUUCUCGAGAACCAUAAAGUACUAGGAAAAACCUAGGAAACAGUCUACAGAGGAAAGCCCUGGCAACAUCGGUAAAGUACUACACGUUUCCAUGUAAAUCGAGAAAGACGGUGAACUGUAAAGUACUCCAUUCUUAUACGAUCUAUCUUACUUCGUGGUAUAUAAUAAGACACGAAAACCCUUUUUAUUUUAACCUUUACCAGGUAUAUAAUAGGACACACUAAUGUUUUAAAGAGCAAAAGGUCAAUAAGUAGAUUGACAUUAGACACCGGCGUAGAAAUCAUAUCUCAAAGACAAAAUUAGAAUUACGUACCUCAUAUAACGUCUUUGGUGUUCUGUUUUCUUCUUACCUCGAACCACACCUCUCCUGUCUCCUAGUUUGUCCACAAACUCCUCUAAUAACGGUUUUUUUUGAUGCCCACCUUAGGGAGCUCCUUUUCCUAACCUCACCCUAUUCGAAGACUACCACAAAAGACAAGACUAGGUUAAACACUCCACCUCCAGGAACAUUAGAAACACCAACAAGUCCAAUCCACAACACAAGGGGGUAGGAAAUCAGAUAUUUUACCAUUUGCUCAUUGCGACUCGCAAACAACCCAACAGCGAAGUCAAAGAAGAGGAAGCUCAGAGAUGGAACAUUAUCCAAUUCAUUCCAAUCUAACGACCGGACACGAAAUUAAAGAUGUGGACGUCGACCUACACAAGAGUCCGACACCGGAAAACAAAGACUUGAAGCAUUUUGGAACUACGACCGCCAAAGAGUUACUUUUAGUUG